CAGCAGUAGGGAAUUUUCGUCAAUGGGGGGAACCCUGAACGAGCAAUGCCGCGUGUGUGAAGAAGGUCUUCGGAUCGUAAAGCACUGUUGUAAGUGAAGAAUGCCAUAUAGAGGAAAUGCUAUGUGGGUGACGGUAGCUUACCAGAAAGCCACGGCUAACUACGUGCCAGCAGCCGCGGUAAUACGUAGGUGGCAAGCGUUAUCCGGAAUCAUUGGGCGUAAAGGGUGCGUAGGUGGCACGAUAAGUCUGAAGUAAAAGGCAACAGCUCAACUGUUGUAUGCUUUGGAAACUGUCGAGCUAGAGUGCAGAAGAGGGCGAUGGAAUUCCAUGUGUAGCGGUAAAAUGCGUAGAUAUAUGGAGGAACACCAGUGGCGAAGGCGGUCGCCUGGUCUGUAACUGACACUGAUGCACGAAAGCGUGGGGAGCAAAUAGGAUUAGA
rnacentral:rRNA from 1 species